AUUAAUUCUCAAAAGCUAGCCACCAACAAAAAACAACAACCAACAUUAAUUAACCCCACAAACACUAACAACUAAAACAACAAAUCAUUUUCCCUCCUUAGUAUGGGCGACAGAAAAGGACUUUUAGCGCUAUAGAGAAAGUACCGCAAGGGAAAGCUGAAAGAGAAAUGAAAAAACCCAGUAAAGAAUAAAAAAGCAGAGAUAUUUCCUCGUACCUUUUGCAUCAUGAUUUAGCUAGUAACCCUCGAGCAAAGUGAAUUUUAGUUCGAGCCCCCGAAACUGAGCGAGCUACUUCAAGACAGUUUAUUAUAGAACGAACCCGUCUCUGUGGCAAAAGAGUGGGAAGAUCUUCAAGUAGAGGUGAUAGACCUACCGAGCCCAGUUAUAGCUGGUUGCCUACAAAAUGAAUAGAAGUUCAGCCUUUAACCCUUCUUUCCUCAACAUCGUAAUACACUAAUGUGACAAAAAGAAAGUUAAAGAGUUAUUUAGAGGGGGGACAGCCCCUCUAAAAGAAGAUACAACUUUGUUAGAAGGUAAAAGAUCAAAAGAAUCUAAGGCAGAAUACCUUAGUGGGCCUAAAAGCAGCCACCUAUGCAGAAAGCGUUAAAGCUCAAGUAUGAAGUCCCUCCACAAUUCCGACAACAAAAUCUUAAACCCCUUAAACAAUAGUAGGCCUUUUCAUGCAAACAUGAAAGAGACACUGCUAAUAUGAGUAAUAAGAGGGCCGCCCCUCUCCAAUCACCUGUUUACAUCAGAACAAACUCCUACUGAUAUUUAACGCCCCCAAUUAUAGAGGGAAUUGAAAAGGUAUACUAAACUAGAAAACCUCUCAAAGCAAUAGCGUUAAUCCUACACAGGUGUGUUUAAGGAAAGACUAAAAGAAAAAGAAGGAACUCGGCAAACACUGGCCUCGCCUGUUUACCAAAAACAUCGCCUCUUGCAUUCUCGUUAACGUAUAAGAGGUCCCGCCUGCCCUGUGACAAUGAGUUUAACGGCCGCGGUAUUUUGACCGUGCAAAGGUAGCGUAAUCACUUGUCUUUUAAAUGAAGACCUGUAUGAAUGGCACGACGAGGGCUAAGCUGUCUCCUUUUUCCAGUCAAUGAAAUUGAUCUUCCCGUGCAGAAGCGGGAAUCAAAACAUAAGACGAGAAGACCCUAUGGAGCUUAAGACAUAAAGCAGCCCAUGUUAAAACACCUAAAUUAACAGGAUUUAACCGAAUGGUCCCUGCCCCUGUCUUUGGUUGGGGCGACCGCGGGGUAACAAUUAACCCCCAUGUGGAACAGGAGACCACUCCUUAAAGCCAGAGAAACAACUCUAACAAGCAGAACAUCUGACCUAUAAGAUCCGGCAAAGCCGAUCAACGGACCGAGUUACCCUAGGGAUAACAGCGCAAUCCCCUUCUAGAGUCCAUAUCGACAAGGGGGUUUACGACCUCGAUGUUGGAUCAGGACAUCCUAAUGGUGCAGCCGCUAUUAAGGGUUC
rnacentral:rRNA from 1 species